UUAGAAUCCUUGCCCUCAGUAUAGGCUUGAAAACUGCUCCCUCAGUGAAACAUUUUCUGUCUCGUUUUUUUUUUUUUUUGUUUUUUUUGCUUAAAAAUGUGCUACUAAGAUUUUACGACAGUUUUAGGUCUCCGAGCAUCAUAGUCAUAACAUAGCAGCUUGAAGUUCAGAUAUUCUGUAACAUCAUCAUCACCAGGUGACCUGUUAAUGUUAAAUGGUCCAUUACUGCACUUCAUUUUGAGUGGAACAAAAGAAAACGUCACUGAUUUGAGGCAUCAUAGUGGUAUAUAAAGAAAAUCUAAUGCAAGUUUUAAAAGAUGUUGAGUUAAUAAAAGAAUAAAUGCUUCCAAAGAAGGUGAAUAUCUAGACUAAAGGAAUUAAAGAUAAGAUAAAAGAAGAUUAUUGCAAGAUAAGAGGCAUGAAACUUGGACACCAUUGUAAUAACAAAAUCGGAGGAAAUAUAAAAAUCAGAUGUUGCAAGAAAAGGCAACGUAAAAACCACACACUUCAGUCACACCGAUAAGAUCAACAGGCGGCAGAACUUGGAGUGGACCUGGGGACAUGCUGUCUUGAUAUGAUGGAGGAGAAUUUGUUUGACUGGUACCCCAGUAUACUGUGUGAUGGAGUUCUAGAUUGGAAGAUGUUGGUGAACUUAUGCAGGAGAUAGUAUAGUGUAGGUUGGUGGUUCUAGUGAACUCGUGCAGGAGAUAGCGUAGGUUGGUCGACCUUACCAAUGAUAUGGGUACAUGUUUUAUCCCCCGUGAGAGUUAUCUUUCGUAAAGUAGGCAUGUUGUAUGGCAGUGGUUAGCGAAACCCAUGAGCAGCCUGUUGUGUCCAAGUCAGCACCAAGGAGGGGACUUUAGACUAAAGAGAUGAUAAAUUUCCACUUGUAUUUCCGUCCCAUCAGGUGAAGAAUGAAGUUUCAAUGGCUGCAGGAUGCUAUCGGCCCGGCAUUAGUGGCCCCAGGUUGCAGCUGGAUAUCAGGUGGUAAGUGCCAGUCAAUGAUUGAUGCAGGUAUUAUAAACUUACAAACACCUGUACUCACCAGGAGCUCAACUGGGGUUGUUGCUGAUCUCACAGAUGGUGGGGCUGUGCAUUUUGAGUCUAGAGCCUUCAGCAACUUAUCUUCCUUCUUCGGGAGGUCUGUCAUGGGUGGACCACUGGUAUUUGGAAUGGGGUUGUAGACACUUUGUAGCCAGAUCUCCCUGGCGAGGUUGAUCAUCUGUGGCUUGCUGCCUGGUCUGUAGUGAUUUCUGUUAGUGUGAAUAGAGACCCAGAGACCCUGACUACUCCCAGGAUACCGUCACUGAUGUGUCCCCAAGAGGCAAGUCCGGGAGGAGACUGAGGACUCAUCUGGCAUGGGUGAGUGGCAUUAAGGAGAAUUUCAUGAGAAGUAAUGGAGUUCUUUGUAGGUGAUCGUGCAGUGCACACUCCACUCCCAUGCUAAUGCUAAAUUUGGCUGUGUUCUUGUGCAUCACCAGCAGCACCUGAACCACAAGUUCUGAGACAAAUAUAUCUUCUGCACACCUUAUACAUAAAUGGAUUAGAUCUCAAACAGUAAAUCGGUGUAUUCUGGUCAUCCUGUCCAUGUUGUAUUUUUUUACCAUGGCAGAUAAUCAUUGGAUACAGUUCCUGAAAGGUUUGGGAGUGACGCAGGUUAAAAGAUAACAGCUCAAUUGAAACUUAGCCUAGUAUGCCAAAGACCACUCAGUCACAGGGUGAGGAGACAGUUUAAGAAUGUGAAAACCGAUUCAAACAGAGAUGUUGUUUCUGAAUAAUCAACUCGGACUAUUGAGGUAAGUUUUUAGGCACUUGGGCUGAUGAAAUGUUAGCAACGAAAACUUGUGUAAUUAAUACUGCAAGGUGAUUUUAAAAAUUGAAAGGCUUAACACAUAAGGAAGACAUUCCAUGGACUUAACAACUUGCUAAGAAGGGGACUAAGAAGGGGAAAAAUAGUGGUGGAGUUAAAUUCAUCCUCAAGCAACUAGAAAAUGUGGAAUUAGAGAAUUAAAUGACUAAUCACGUAGCAAAUAUGAGCAAAAGUUACCAUUUUGAACAUCGAUUGAGGCACCCUGAUUGUGACGAAGAUAUGACGAGGAAUUUUAAGUGCAAUCAUGUGUCCCAGGAAUUAGGAGAUAGUGAAGGUGGACGAAAAUUCUGAAGAGGAUUAUGACACAGGAGAGGUAGCUUGUUCAAGAGACUGAGAAGUGAAAACUUCACAGAGACCUACCUUGUAGACCAUCAGAGGACUGACAGAGAGGGCCUUCGAGUCCACAAAUAAGACCGUUAUGCAGUUAGUAAAUGGACGGUCAAGACCACCUGAAGGAUAAUAAAAGAUACUCCUUCAGUACCAACUUGAAUUAUUCUGCUUAAAAUCCUAUGAUUCGUCAGUCAUCAUCACCAGUGAUGGUGAACAUAUGCAUUCAAUGCCACCAUUAAGUAGCUCGACAGGAAUCGGAAUGCAUCAUUUUUACUUUUCAAACAUCUAA